CGCUACUAUCUACUAAUAUCAUUAUUAUUAUUCCUUCUUUUUACUAUCUUCCACUAUUCACUCCUCUGAGAGUAUAAGAAUUCUGUGAGGGGUGAUAACAGUAUGAAGAGUGAAUAGCAGAAAAUAGUAGAAGAAGAUACCACCACACCCACGGGUAAAUAUACCACUAUGAGCGCAACCAUUUAACAAAUGGUUACGUUGGCCUUUUGCUAUGGAAAACCAGAACACAAUAAGGAAAUACUAAACCGGUACAUUACAAAUUCUAUCUAUAAUACAAAUUAAAAUUAUUUAGGAUAAUACCUGAAAUAUCUUUGUGGUAUGUUAUAGCCACUCUGUGUACACUGACAUAAACUCGCAUAACAGAAUAGAUGGAAAAAACGCUGCAAUUAAUGCUUAAAUCAUAAUAUAAAUGUACAUGUCCAUCACAAAUCAUUAUAUAUACACAAUAUCUGGACGUGGGGCGAGGUCAAUGUACGGAAUAGCUGUUAGUUAUUCAUAAGACAAGAAUUGAAUGUGAAGAACAUCCGCCAGCAAACACCACGCUAUAGCACGCGCAGCAACGGGACUGAAGCAAGACGGAAGUGUGGAGAGAGGGAGGAAAGAGCACUCGUCUGGGAGGCUUGAAAGGUUAUUUGAGGAAGUGAUAAAAAAUAGUUAUAAAGUAUCCACUCUCUCCAAGGCAUUCUUUGAAUCUUCACUUCUAUCAGAAAAAUAAGUGCCAGGUUUUCUCGAGGAAUGUUUUUUCGGAUGGAGAUCAAUAUUAAGACCGCGCGUGACCUGCGAGAUGAAGGGCAAACUAUACUUGUUAUCGGGGUCUGCAUCUGCAUCGCGUCUAGAGCUGGGAUUGCUAACGGCAACUCCCGUGCUCCGGCGACGAUCUCGACGAGCAGGCUGCGACCGACUUCGAUGCGAUGGGGAUUCAUUGACCGUAGCAUACUUUUUCUCUGAGGGUGAUCUAUUCGGGGGUGAUGGUAUAGGUACCUUGAUUACGACAUGGUUGGAACAAAUGCAGCCGCAGCCACUUGGGCAGAAUGGAUUAGUAGUCGUCCUUUUUGCUCUGGCAAAGCGAGGUUGUGUUGAGAACCAGUUCUGAUGACAGUUGACACAGGAAAUAUGCCCACAAUUUAAACACGGAGUAAACAUCCCAUCGAUGACCUCGCCACAAACAACACAUGAUAGCUUGGCUGGGAUUGGUUGUGAAAGUCUGCAUUGGGGGCAUUGAAUUGCAGGUGAAUCACCGCCUCGUGCUUUACUCCUGCGGCUGGGUUUUGCUAUGUCGGACAUUGCAA
rnacentral:sRNA from 1 species